CAGUAAGGAAAUGAAGGAAGAAUAGGGAAGGAGAGGAAGCCAAACAAGGUGCAAUAUUGGACAAAAGUCCUGCGGAAGAUAGGUGUGGCCUGAUCCCAUAGGGGAACUUAGAGAAUAACGUGAGGCAGAGGAGCUUGGCUUUCAUACUCCUCUGCCCAGCAGCUAAGCACCAUCCAGAGAGAGGUAAAGUUGCAGGCAUUUCUGAAUCAACAUGUGCAGGGGAUG
rnacentral:lncRNA from 10 species